AACGAACGCUGGCGGCACGCUUAACACAUGCAAGUCGAACGAAGUAGCAAUACUUAGUGGCGGACGGGUGAGUAACGCGUAGGAACCUGCCUAUGGGUGGGGGAUAACUUUGGGAAACUAAAGCUAAUACCCCAUAAGUCGGAGACGAGAAAGGCGAAAGCCGCCGAUAGAUGGGCCUGCGUAAGAUAGGUAGUUGGUGGGGUAAUGGCCUACCAAGCCGAUGAUCUUUAGCCGGUUUGAGAGGAUGAUCAGCCACACUGGGACUGAGACACGGCCCAGACUCCUACGGGAGGCAGCAGUGGGGAAUAUUGGACAAUGGGGGAAACCCUGAUCCAGCGAUGCCGCGUGAGUGAAGAAGGCCUUCGGGUUGUAAAACUCUUUUGGUAGGGAAGAUAAUGACGGUACCUACAGAAUAAGCUCCGGCUAACUUCGUGCCAGCCGCCGCCGUAAAAC
rnacentral:rRNA from 1 species